GAUGAACGCUGGCUACAGGCUUAACACAUGCAAGUCGAGGGGAAACGACGGGGAAGCUUGCUUCCCCGGGCGUCGACCGGCGCACGGGUGAGUAACGCGUAUCCAACCUGCCUCUGACUGAGGGAUAACCCGUCGAAAGUCGGCCUAAUACCUCAUGGCAUCGUCUGCGGGCAUCCAACGACGAUUAAAGAUUUCAUCGGUCAGGGAUGGGGAUGCGUCUGAUUAGCUAGUUGGCGGGGUAACGGCCCACCAAGGCGACGAUCAGUAGGGGUUCUGAGAGGAAGGUCCCCCACAUUGGAACUGCGACACGGUCCAAACUCCUACGGGAGGCAGCAGUGAGGAAUAUUGGUCAAUGGGCGAGAGCCUGAACCAGCCAAGUAGCGUGCAGGAUGACGGCCCUAUGGGUUGUAAACUGCUUUUAUGCGGGGAUAAAGUGAGGGACGUGUCCUUCAUUGCAGGUACCGCAUGAAUAAGGACCGGCUAAUUCCGUG
rnacentral:rRNA from 1 species